CACGCAGGCGGGUGCGCGCGUGGGGUGUGAAAUCUGGCCGCUUAACGGCCAGGCGCCAUCCCAUACGGCGCGCCUGGAGCCUUGCAGAGGGCGGUGGAAUUGCCGGUGUAGUGGUGAAAUGCGUAGAGAUCGGCAGGAACACCCAGGGGAAACCAGCCGCCUGGGCAAGCGCUGACGCUGAGGUGCGAGAGCGUGGGGAGCGAACC
rnacentral:rRNA from 1 species